CCUACGGGUGGCUGCAGUGGGGAAUAUUGGACAAUGGGGGCAACCCUGAUCCAGCCAUGCCGCGUGUGUGAAGAAGGCCCUCGGGUUGUAAAGCACUUUCAGUGAGGAAGAACGCCUGGUGGUUAAUACCCAUCAGGAAAGACAUCACUCACAGAAGAAGCACCGGCUAACUCCGUGCCAGCAGCCGCGGUAAUACGGAGGGUGCGAGCGUUAAUCGGAAUUACUGGGCGUAAAGCGCGCGUAGGUGGCUUGAUAAGCCGGUUGUGAAAGCCCCGGGCUCAACCUGGGAACGGCAUCCGGAACUGUCAAGCUAGAGUGCAGGAGAGGAAGGUAGAAUUCCCGGUGUAGCGGUGAAAUGCGUAGAGAUCGGGAGGAAUACCAGUGGCGAAGGCGGCCUUCUGGACUGACACUGACACUGAGGUGCGAAAGUGUGGGUAGCAAACAGGAUUAGAUACCCUUGUAGUC
rnacentral:rRNA from 1 species